rnacentral:rRNA from 1 species
AGCGAACGCUGGCGGCAGGCCUAACACAUGCAAGUCGAACGAAGUCUUCGGACUUAGUGGCGGACGGGCGAGUAACACGUGGGAACGUGCCUUUAGGUUCGGAAUAACUCAGGGAAACUUGUGCUAAAACCGAAUGUGCCCCUCGGGGGAAAGAUUUAUCGCCUCUAGAGCGGCCCGCGUCUGAUUAGCUAGUUGGUGAGGUAAAGGCUCACCAAGGCGACGAUCAGUAGCUGGUCUGAGAGGAUGAUCAGCCACAUUGGGACUGAGACACGGCCCAAACUCCUACGGGAGGCAGCAGUGGGGAAUCUUGCGCAAUGGGCGAAAGCCUGACGCAGCCAUGCCGCGUGAAUGAUGAAGGUCUUAGGAUUGUAAAAUUCUUUCACCGGGGACGAUAAUGACGGUACCCGGAGAAGAAGCCCCGGCUAACUUCGUGCCAGCCGCCGCCGUAAUAC